AUCAAGCUGAUGAGUCCUCAAUGGGACGAAACGCGCGUCCUGGAU
rfam:Schistosoma curassoni strain Dakar, Senegal genome assembly, scaffold: SCTD_scaffold0002898